rnacentral:lncRNA from 1 species
GGAAGAUGCCAGCUCUGCCUGGCGCCCGCAGCCCAGAUCUCCUGCCCGGAGUACGGGGGCGCGGGCGCAGCCACCAAAGCUGAAAUGUGACCGCGUCCCGGUCCCUUCCUGCUCUGGGGCGCGAAGCUGCCAAGAAACCGGCUGCGGUCUCCAGGAGGGGCCAGGAGGCAAAAUGGAAGGAAGCGCUGGAUCUCCGCGGCGGAAGUCAUUCUUAUGCCCUGCCAAAGGGUAGAGGGCAGCAACCGACUUGUGCGAAAGGAGGGAACGUGUGGGUCUGCCAGGGUCCUGCAGGGGGGAUGAGACCCUCGCUCCGCUCCGGCGAUCCCUUCGCUCUCCACCCUCGGCCAGCCCCUCCUGUCCUCCAUCAGGCCUCGCUGAGGAUACCUCCUGGGUUCCAAAGCGCGAGUUGAACCUGAGCUUGACAUUCAUUCCGUCUCGUACAAAAGCCAUGCCUGCGGGGAGAGGGAGAAAAUUUCCUACAGGAGCCUCAAGACUGCGUUUCAGGAAGCCCUAGGACCCACUGAUCCUGCAGCUGCGCCUCUCACUCGCCUCAGGUCCUGAGCUGGAACGAUGGAAUCUAGCAGAAGUUGCCUUUCCAGAUUCAAACGGCUUCUAUGGUGGAUUCACACAAAAGAAAUUAGUAGAAGAAAGAAUUUUGCUAAAUUUCUUUUCAGAAAGACUUUACUCAUUUAUCAGCAAUAAAUAGUAUCUGUUAUGAGUUAAAUUGUGUCUCCAAAAAGAUAUGCUGGGGUAAUAGCCACUGGGAACUUUGAAUGUAAUCUUAUUUGGAAAUAGGGUCUUUGCUAAUAUUAUCAAAUUAAGAUGAAGUCAUAUCAAAUUAAGUAUGACUGUCCUUAUAAGAGGAGAAGAGACACAGACACAGAGGAAAGACUGCCAUAUGAAGAUGGGGCAAGGAUUGGAGUUACAUUGCUACAAGCCAAGGAAUGCCUGGCACUACCAGAAGCUGGAGGAGACAAGGGAGGAUUAAUGUCCUUUAGGAGCUUCAAAGGAAAUAUGUCCCUCUCAACAACUUGACUUCUAAUGUUGUGAUGGUUAAUACUGAGUGUCAACUUGAUUGGGUUGAAGGAUACAAAGUAUUGAUCCUGGGUGUGUCUGUGCCAAAGGAGAUUAACAUUUGAGUCAGUGGGAUGGAAAGGCAGACGCACCCUUAAUCUGGGUGGGCAAAAUCUAAGCUGCUAGCAUGACUAGAAUAUAAGCAGGCAGAAAAAUGUGAAAAAGAGAGACUGGCCUAGACUCCCAGCCUACGUCUUUAUCCUGUGCUAGAUGCAUCCUGUCCUUGAACAUCAGACUCUUAAGUCCUUCAAUUUUGGAACUCACACUGGCUCUCCUUGCUCCUCAGCCUGCAGACAGCCUAUUGUGGGACCUUGUGAUCAUAGACGGUCUUGUUCUGUCACCCAGGUUUGAAUGCAGUGGCAUGAUCAUAACUAAAUGCAACCUCAAACUCCCCAGCUCAAGAGAUCCUUCCACUUCAGCCUCCCGAGUAGCUAGGACUACAGUCAUGCGCCACCACAGCCAGCUAAAUUUAUUUUUUUGUAAAGACAGUCUUUCAAUGUUGCCCAGACUGGUCUCAAACUCUUUGUCCCAAGUGACUCUCCUGCCUCGACCUCCCAAAGUGUUGGGAUUACAGGCGUGAGCCACCAUGUUAAAUGAGAAAAUAAAUUUACGCAGUUUUAAGCCAUCCAGCUUGUGAUACGUUGUUAUGGGAGCCCUAGGAAAUUAAUACACCAUUAUUUUCAAAGUGCUGCUAAUUUAUAAGACAACAUUGGUUUUUAAUUGUUCUGAUUUUCAAAAAUAUCUGCUGACUUAAAAUAUGAAGAUUGUAUUCAAGUGUUCUGAUUUUCAUUGAAGUUAAAAAUUUGUCUUAAAUACUAGACAUUUACUUCUAUCAAUUUUCUCACAAUGUUUUUAUACCUUUUUCUCAGUUAUUGUAACAUUAGUGUUCUUUUUAAUCAAUAUAUUAUGAAUGUCACUUUUUAUCCAUCACAUUAAUUACAAAUGUUUUUCUCUAGUUUUUGGUUUCCUAUAACUUACUUCCUAAAUAUAUAAAAUAAACAGAAAUAAUUUUAUGUGUGUAGAAUAUUUUUACUUAAGAAGAAUAGAUUGUCAAAUUACAACCACCAUCACCACCACCACCAACAUGAGAUUCUCUUGGAAAUAUAUCAAAAUAUUAUCAAAAGUCUUAAAAGUCUGUCUUUUAGAAGCAAAAAGGAAUAAAAACAGUGCAUAUGUAGUUUUAAUGUUAUGAAUGACAGGUUAGGG